CAGAAAUAGUCAGCUUCCUCUAGUGCAGGGCACUCCAACCCUGUUCCUGGAGUCUACCCUCCUGUAGGUUUUAACUCCAACCCUGUUCCUGGAGUCUACCCUCCUGUAGGUUUUAACUCCAACCCUGUUCCUGGAGAGACCCUCCUGUAGGUUUUAACUCCAACCCUGUUCCUGGAGAGAUACCCUCCUGUAGGUUUUAACUCCAACCCUGUUCCUGGAGAGAUACCCUCCUGUAGGUUUUAAUUCCAGCCCUGUUCCUGGAGAGACCCUCCUGUAGGUUUUAAC
ensembl:lncRNA